UGGCUCAGAACGAACGCUGGCCCCGUGCUUAACACAUGCAAGUCGAGCGGAAACAGGCCCGCAAGGGUGCUGUCGAGCGGCGGACGGGUGAGGAAUACAUAGGAAUCUGCCUCAGAGUGGGGGAUAGCCCGGGGAAACCCGGAUUAAUACCGCAUGAUGUCGUGAGACCAAAGCGGGGGCCGUAAGGCCUCGCGCUCUGAGAUGAGCCUAUGUCCGAUUAGCUAGUUGGCGGGGUGAUGGCCUACCAAGGCGGCGACGGGUAGCCGGCCUGAGAGGGCGACCGGCCACACUGGGACCAAGACACGGCCCAGACUCCUACGGGAGGCAGCAGUGGG
rnacentral:rRNA from 1 species